rnacentral:tRNA from 2 species
CGGAAAAUAGCACAAUUUGGUAGUGCACUACGCUUGGGACGUAGGGGUUGCAGGUUCAAAUCCUGUUUUUCCGACCA